AUUGAACGCUGGCGGCAUGCCUUACACAUGCAAGUCGAACGGUAACGGGCCUUCGGGUGCCGACGAGUGGCGAACGGGUGAGUAAUACAUCGGAACGUGCCCGCUCGUGGGGGAUAACGAGGCGAAAGCUUUGCUAAUACCGCAUACGAUCUACGGAUGAAAGCAGGGGACCGCAAGGCCUUGCGCGGACGUUGCGGCCGAUGGCAGAUUAGGUAGUUGGUGGGAUAAAAGCUUACCAAGCCGACGAUCUGUAGCUGGUCUGAGAGGAUGAUCAGCCACACUGGGACUGAGACACGGCCCAGACUCCUACGGGAGGCAGCAGUGGGGAAUUUUGGACAAUGGGCGCAAGCCUGAUCCAGCCAUGCCGCGUGCAGGAUGAAGGCCUUCGGGUUGUAAACUGCUGUUGUACGGAACGAAAAGCCGUCUUUUAAUACAGGAGGGUCAUGACGGUACCGUAAGAAUAAGCACCGGCUAACUACGUG
rnacentral:rRNA from 1 species